CUCCCAAGAUUUCAUAAAUACUUAAUUGUUUCUAAAUUUUUAAUCAAUUAGAAAAAUACUAUUUUCAACUAUGUAUUAUAUAGUUCUAUUCACGCUUGCGGCUUUUGUUGCAUAUUCUUCUCAAACAGUUCCGCACUGUCCGGCCCGAGACGGUGCACAACCAACUUACAUUCCACACGAUGAUUGUACGAAAUUUUACGAAUGUUCUAAUGGGGAACCGUUUUUGUUUGACUGCCCAGCUGGAUUACACUUUAAUCCUGAUAAAAAUGUUUGUGAUUGGCCCCAGGACGCAGGAUGUAGAAGAGCAACAGAAUAAUUUUUUUUAAUUUAUAUUACUAAUAUUUCUUCAUUUAUGGAAAUUGUCAAAAAAAGUUUAGAUAAAUAGUAACAAUGAGGAAUUCUAAAA